rnacentral:rRNA from 1 species
GACGAACGCUGGCGGCGUGCUUAACACAUGCAAGUCGAACGGAAAGGCCCUGCUUGCAGGGUACUCGCGUGGCGAACGGGCGAGUAACACGUGGGUGAUCUGCCCUCCACUUCGGGUUAAGCCAGGGCAACAGGGCCUAAUACCUGACAGGAGCCAUUUUUAGUGUGAUGGUUGGAUAGUUUUUUCGGUGUAGGGUGAGCUCGCUGCCUAUCGGCUUGUUGGGGUGGUGAUGGCCUACCAAGGCGGCGGCGGGUAGCCGGCCUGCGGGGGUGAACGGCGACACAGGGACUGAGGGACGGCCGAGACAGCUACGGGAGGCAGAAGGGGGGAAUCUUGAACAAUGGGCGCAAGGCUGAUGCAGCGGCGCUGCGUGGGGGAAGACGGCGUUCGGGUUGAAAACUACUUGCGCUAGGGACGAAGCUUUUUGUGACGGUACCUAGAUAAGAAGCACCGGCUAACUACGUG